CCAUUCUUUGGUAGAACAACUUGCGUGCUUAGGGUUGUUGUCUUGCUGCAUGACCCACAUGGACAGAUGUCCUGACAUUUUCCUUUAGGCUGGUAUCAUUCAGAAUUCAUUGUUCCAUCAAUGAUGGCAAGCCGUCCUGGCCCAAAUGCAGAAAAACAGGCCCAAACCAUGAUACUACCACCACCAUGUUUCACAGAUGGGAUAAGGUUAGAAUGCAUAUGCUGGAAUGCAGUAUUUUCCUUUCUCCAAACAUAAUGAUUAUUAUUUAAACCAAAAAGAGUAACAGUGAUGUUGAAUUUCCUCCAUUUGUACAUAAUCUGUCUGACUGUGGAUUGGUGGAGUCAAAACUCAAUAUAGAUGGUUUUGUGACCUUUUCCAUAAUGAUCAACAACAACUCUUUUUCUGAGGUCCUCAGAAAUCUCCUUUGUUCAUGCCAUGAAACACUUCCACAAACACGUGUGGUGAAGAUCAGACUCUGAUAGAUCCCUGUUCUUUAAAUAAAACAGGACGCUCACUCACUCACACCUGAUCAUCAUCCCAUUGAUUGAAAACACCUGACUCUAAUUUCACCUUCAAAUGAACUGCUAAUGCUAGAGGUUCACAUACUUUUGCCACUCACAGAUAUGUAAUGUUGGAUCAUUUUCCUCAAUAAAUAAAUAAAUGACUAAGUAUAAUAAUUUUGCCUCAUUUGUUUAAUUGGGGUUUCUUUAUCUACUUUAGGACUUGUGUGAAAAUCUGAUGAUGUUUUUUACGUCAUAUUUAUGCAGAAAUAUAGAAAAUGCUUCAUAAGGGUUCACAAACUUUCAAGCACCACUGUUUACACACAACGGCUAGUAACAGGUGAAUUCCUGGAUGCAAAAAGUGAGCGUGUUUUUGUGCAUUGUGAAGGACACAUUGAAUUAUUUAUUCAACCUAUUAGUUAAAACACUGAGUCAUUCAGAAUAAAACGUCUUCUCAUCCUAAAAUGAGUAUACCUCCAUAUUUACUAAAAGACUUCAGAACAGACUUUCCCUCUCAGAACAGAUCUACCAUUUUCUAAAUUCAUUUUGUCGACUACAUAACCUGCAGAAUUAAUUUUUCAUUUACAGGAAAUAAGUUGUCCUGCAGGAUAAAUUACACUCUUGGGAGCUUUUAUUUUGGCAGGAUGUGUGCAGGAUUUCCCCCUUGUGCAGCGAGUGUACUGGAAAUUCCGACAUGUUUCUAUUGUACUCUAGGCUCCAUGCUAAACCCUGUAGGAACAUCCUGUAGAAAAAAUGUAAUCCUGCAGGAUUCCUGUAGGGUUUCUUUUCGUAAGGGCAUAAAUACUGUGAAUUGUUGUUGGUUUUGUUACUUAUUUAUUUAAAAUGAUCAUUUUGCAUAAAAGUUAAGUUGCUGUGGUUGUGUAGGAGAUCGCAGAUGCUCGUUUUCCAUUUUCAGCGGUGUUUCAAGGAAGGUUUCAAGGAAGAGUGGCUGGUUUACGUGAAUUUAUUGUGAAUUUUUUUAUUUUUUAAAACAAGGGGGAGGUGUGAUGAGUGAAGUGGUUUCAAAUUCGCAGUAGGUGAUAGAGCAACAUGUGUAAAUUAUUAUUAUUGAUAACUGACACAAUUAGCUACAACUUUAACUUUUUCCCCUCAGAGUAGCCUACAGUUGGAUCAGGGUUGGACAUAAUACACUGGUAUCAAUACAGUUAAUACAAACACACGACUCUGAUGACUUACUUCAGUCCUGUAUUGUAAGUGUUUUCUUCAACACAGAGCUGAAAUACUUUAUCAGAGUCCUGUUACAUUAAUACAUAAAUAUGUUACAUUAUCAGGCCAAUAAUGCAACAUAUAGGAAAUCUUCCAUAUAAACCAUUUUCACUAAUUUAGUAAAAUGUUUCACGUGUUCAUUUAAACAUUCAUGGUAUUGGUACAAGUGUAUUUUUUUAACAUAGGAAUGAAAUAGGAUUAUUAAUAGGUUUAUUAAUUUGAUUAGUGCGAUGUACAAUACUUUAAUUUUGAAAUGUCAUACAUUUUCUGUCAAAACUGUCAAUAAGGAAGAUCAGUGUUUGUGUGAUUUACUUCAAACAACAUAGAGGUUUUGUGAUGUUCUUUAUAGAGUGUAUAUUUUUACUCAUUUUCUUAAAGUGAAUAUCACAUGCCGAGUUUUAGUUAUCAGAUACUGAUUCCCACCAGCUUUUGAUUAAAAUAAAAAAAAAAUUCCAGGUUGCUAUUUGGUGGUUAGGUUUUCUUUCUCUGUUUAUAGAAGUUUAAUUCACUUAAACUGCCAUGUAAUUUAAGCUCAUAUUCCACUAAAGCAUAGGCUGUUGGAGAGAGAAAGUAAAUGUCAGUAUUUAAAUGAUACUUUACAGACGUUUAAAGGAAUUUACAGCCAAAUAAAAAUAACUUUUAUAUACCAGAAAGAGAAUUUCAUAUUCUUCUCUUCUUUUCUCAUCAGGAUCAAGCUAAGUUCAUGCUACAAAACAUUUGACUUUUUGAUAUAAUGUCGGAGGAGUGUGAGAAACUCAGAAUCUCUGAAAUGAGUCUACAGGAGGAGCAGCACAAGACACAAAGUGAAACGGUGGAAAGGUCAAACUCUCCUGAACCCAGCUGUGUGUCCUUGAAGAGUGACUGGUCAGUGACAGAGCCUCUCAGAUUUAAAGAUGGAACAGCCUCAACAGAAAGUGGAACUGUGGAAAGGUCAAAUUCUCCUGUAUCCAGCUGCGUGUCCUUUAAGAGUGACCACUCAAUGCCACUUCCUCUCCACUUUAAAGGUGGAACAUCCUCUGUGGAAAG